CUCCAGACUCCUACGGGAGGCAGCAGUGGGGAAUAUUGCGCAAUGGGCGAAAGCCUGACGCAGCGACGCCGCGUGAGGGAUGAAGGUUUUCGGAUCGUAAACCUCUGUCAGAAGGGAAGAAAGUGCGUGGUGCUAAUCAGCCGCGUAUUGACGGUACCUUCAAAGGAGGCACCGGCUAACUCCGUGCCAGCAGCCGCGGUAAUACGGAGGGUGCGAGCGUUAAUCGGAAUUACUGGGCGUAAAGCGCACGUAGGCUGUUGUGUAAGUCAGGGGUGAAAUCCCACGGCUCAACCGUGGAACUGCCCUUGAUACUGCAUGACUGGAAUCCGGGAGAGGGUGGCGGAAUUCCAGGUGUAGGAGUGAAAUCCGUAGAUAUCUGGAGGAACAUCAGUGGCGAAGGCGACUAUCUGGCACAUAACUGACUCUGAGGAGCGAAAGCGUGGGUAGCAAACAGGAUUAGAUCCCCGCGUA
rnacentral:rRNA from 1 species